CGGCGAUGUCCGAAUGGGGAAACCCAGUGCAAUUCGUUGCACUAUCGUUAACUGAAUACAUAGGUUAACGAGGCGAACCGGGGGAACUGAAACAUCUAAGUACCCCGAGGAAAAGAAAUCAACCGAGAUUCCCCCAGUAGCGGCGAGCGAACGGGGAGCAGCCCAGAGUCUGAAUCAGCUUGUGUGUUAGUGGAACGGUCUGGAAAGUCCGACGGUACAGGGUGAUAGUCCCGUACACCAAAAUGCACAGGCUGUGAACUCGAAGAGUAGGGCGGGACACGUGGUAUCCUGUCUGAAUAUGGGGGGACCAUCCUCCAAGGCUAAAUACUCCUGACUGACCGAUAGUGAACCAGUACCGUGAGGGAAAGGCGAAAAGAACCCCGGCGAGGGGAGUGAAAAAGAACCUGAAACCGUGUACGUACAAGCAGUGGGAGCACCUUCGGGUGUGACUGCGUACCUUUUGUAUAAUGGGUCAGCGACUUAUAUUCUGUAGCAAGGUUAACCGUAUAGGGGAGCCGCAGGGAAACCGAGUCUUAACUGGGCGUUAAGUUGCAGGGUAUAGACCCGAAACCCGGUGAUCUAGCCAUGGGCAGGUUGAAGGUUGGGUAACACUAACUGGAGGACCGAACCGACUAAUGUUGAAAAAUUAGCGGAUGACUUGUGGCUGGGGGUGAAAGGCCAAUCAAACCGGGAGAUAGCUGGUUCUCCCCGAAAGCUAUUUAGGUAGCGCCUCGUGAAUUCAUCUUCGGGGGUAGAGCACUGUUUCGGCUAGGGGGUCAUCCCGACUUACCAACCCGAUGCAAACUACGAAUACCGAAGAAUGUUAUCACGGGAGACACACGGCGGGUGCUAACGUCCGUCGUGAAGAGGGAAACAACCCAGACCGCCAGCUAAGGUCCCAAAGUCAUGGUUAAGUGGGAAACGAUGUGGGAAGGCACAGACAGCCAGGAUGUUGGCUUAGAAGCAGCCAUCAUUUAAAGAAAGCGUAAUAGCUCACUGGUCGAGUCGGCCUGCGCGGAAGAUGUAACGGGGCUAAACCAUGCACCGAAGCUGCGGCAGCGACACUAUGUGUUGUUGGGUAGGGGAGCGUUCUGUAAGCCUGCGAAGGUGACCUGUGAGGGUUGCUGGAGGUAUCAGAAGUGCGAAUGCUGACAUAAGUAACGAUAAAGCGGGUGAAAAGCCCGCUCGCCGGAAGACCAAGGGUUCCUGUCCAACGUUAAUCGGGGCAGGGUGAGUCGACCCCUAAGGCGAGGCCGAAAGGCGUAGUCGAUGGGAAACAGGUUAAUAUUCCUGUACUUGGUGUUACUGCGAAGGGGGGACGGAGAAGGCUAUGUUAGCCGGGCGACGGUUGUCCCGGUUUAAGCAUGUAGGCUGGUUAUCCAGGCAAAUCCGGAUAAUCAAGGCUGAGGUGUGAUGACGAGGCACUACGGUGCUGAAGUAACAAAUGCCCUGCUUCCAGGAAAAGCCUCUAAGCAUCAGGUAACAUCAAAUCGUACCCCAAACCGACACAGGUGGUCAGGUAGAGAAUACCAAGGCGCUUGAGAGAACUCGGGUGAAGGAACUAGGCAAAAUGGUGCCGUAACUUCGGGAGAAGGCACGCUGGUGUGUAGGUGAAGUCCCUGCGGAUGGAGCUGAGACCAGUCGAAGAUACCAGCUGGCUGCAACUGUUUAUUAAAAACACAGCACUGUGCAAACACGAAAGUGGACGUAUACGGUGUGACGCCUGCCCGGUGCCGGAAGGUUAAUUGAUGGGGUUAUCCGUAAGGAGAAGCUCUUGAUCGAAGCCCCGGUAAACGGCGGCCGUAACUAUAACGGUCCUAAGGUAGCGAAAUUCCUUGUCGGGUAAGUUCCGACCUGCACGAAUGGCGUAAUGAUGGCCAGGCUGUCUCCACCCGAGACUCAGUGAAAUUGAACUCGCUGUGAAGAUGCAGUGUACCCGCGGCAAGACGGAAAGACCCCGUGAACCUUUACUAUAGCUUGACACUGAACAUUGAGCCUUGAUGUGUAGGAUAGGUGGGAGGCUUUGAAGCGUGGACGCCAGUCUGCGUGGAGCCAACCUUGAAAUACCACCCUUUAAUGUUUGAUGUUCUAACGUUGGCCCCUUACCGGGGUUGCGGACAGUGUCUGGUGGGUAGUUUGACUGGGGCGGUCUCCUCCCAAAGCGUAACGGAGGAGCACGAAGGUUAGCUAAUCCUGGUCGGACAUCAGGAGGUUAGUGCAAUGGCAUAAGCUAGCUUGACUGCGAGCGUGACGGCGCGAGCAGGUGCGAAAGCAGGUCAUAGUGAUCCGGUGGUUCUGAAUGGAAGGGCCAUCGCUCAACGGAUAAAAGGUACUCCGGGGAUAACAGGCUGAUACCGCCCAAGAGUUCAUAUCGACGGCGGUGUUUGGCACCUCGAUGUCGGCUCAUCACAUCCUGGGGCUGAAGUAGGUCCCAAGGGUAUGGCUGUUCGCCAUUUAAAGUGGUACGCGAGCUGGGUUUAGAACGUCGUGAGACAGUUCGGUCCCUAUCUGCCGUGGGCGCUGGAGAAUUGAGGGGGGCUGCUCCUAGUACGAGAGGACCGGAGUGGACGCAUCACUGGUGUUCGGGUUGUCAUGCCAAUGGCACUGCCCGGUAGCUAAAUGCGGAAGAGAUAAGUGCUGAAAGCAUCUAAGCACGAAACUUGCCCCGAGAUGAGUUCUCCCUGAGACUUUAAGUCUCCUGAAGGAACGUUGAAGACGACGACGUUGAUAGGCCGGGUGUGUAAGCGCAGCGAUGCGUUGAGCUAACCGGUACUAAUGAACCGUGAGGCUUAACCUU
rnacentral:rRNA from 1 species